GACGAACGCUGGCGGCGUGCUUAACACAUGCAAGUCGAACGGAAAGGCCUCUUUCGGGGGGUACUCGAGUGGCGAACGGGUGAGUAACACGUGAGUAACCUGCCCUUGACUUUGGGAUAACUUCAGGAGACUGGGGCUAAUACCGGAUAGGAGCUCCUGCUGCAUGGUGGGGGUUGGAAAGUUUCGGCGGUUGGGGAUGGACUCGCGGCUUAUCAGCUUGUUGGUGGGGUAGUGGCUUACCAAGGCUUUGACGGGUAGCCGGCCUGAGAGGGUGACCGGCCACAUUGGGACUGAGAUACGGCCCAGACUCCUACGGGAGGCAGCAGGGGGGAAUAUUGCACAAUGGGUGGAAGCCUGAUGCAGCAACGCCGUGGGCGGGAGGACGGCCUUCGGGUUGUAAACCGCUUUCGCUCAUGACGAAGCUUUGUGUGACGGUAGUGGGUAAAGAAGCACCGGCUAACUACGUG
rnacentral:rRNA from 1 species